rnacentral:rRNA from 1 species
GACGAACGCUGGCGGCGUGCCUAACACAUGCAAGUCGAGCGAGUGGAGUUCUUCGGAACAAAGCUAGCGGCGGACGGGUGAGUAACACGUGGGCAACCUGCCUCAUAGAGGGGAAUAGCCUCCCGAAAGGGAGAUUAAUACCGCAUAAGAUUGUAGCUUCGCAUGAAGUAGACAUUAAAGGAGCAAUCCGCUAUGAGAUGGGCCCGCGGCGCAUUAGCUAGUUGGUGAGGUAACGGCUCACCAAGGCGACGAUGCGUAGCCGACCUGAGAGGGUGAUCGGCCACAUUGGGACUGAGACACGGCCCAGACUCCUACGGGAGGCAGCAGUGGGGAAUAUUGCACAAUGGGGGAAACCCUGAUGCAGCAACGCCGCGUGAGUGAUGACGGCCUUCGGGUUGUAAAGCUCUGUCUUCAGGGACGAUAAUGACGGUACCUGAGGAGGAAGCCACGGCUAACUACGUGCCAGCCGCCGCAGUAACAC